CCUACGGGUGGCUGCAGUAGGGAAUCUUUCACAAUGGGCGAAAGCCUGAUGGAGCAACGCCGCGUGCAGGAUGAAGGCCUUCGGGUUGUAAACUGCUUUUAUAAGCGAGCAAUAUGAUGGUAACUUAUGAAUAAGGAUCGGCUAACUCCGUGCCAGCAGCCGCGGUAAUACGGAGGAUGCGAGCGUUAUCCGGAUUUAUUGGGUUUAAAGGGUGCGUAGGCGGGCUGUUAAGUCAGCGGUAAAAGCCCGGGGCUCAACCCCGGCGAGCCGUUGAAACUGGCUGUCUUGAGAUGUCGAGAGGUAUGCGGAAUGCGCAGUGUAGCGGUGAAAUGCUUAGAUAUUGCGCAGAACUCCGAUUGCGAAGGCAGCAUACCGGCGGCGAUUGACGCUGAUGCACGAAAGCGUGGGUAUCAAACAGGAUUAGAUACCCCAGUAGUC
rnacentral:rRNA from 1 species